UGGGGAAUUUUGGACAAUGGGCGAAAGCCUGAUCCAGCAAUGCCGCGUGUGUGAAGAAGGCCUUCGGGUUGUAAAGCACUUUUGUCCGGAAAGAAAUCCUUGGCUCUAAUACAGUCGGGGGAUGACGGUACCGGAAGAAUAAGCACCGGCUAACUACGUGCCAGCAGCCGCGGUAAUACGUAGGGUGCAAGCGUUAAUCGGAAUUACUGGGCGUAAAGCGUGCGCAGGCGGUUUGCUAAGACCGAUGUGAAAUCCCCGGGCUCAACCUGGGAACUGCAUUGGUGACUGGCAGGCUAGAGUAUGGCAGAGGGGGGUUAGAAUUCCACGUGUAGCAGUGAAAUGCGUAGAGAUGUGGAGGAAUACCGAUGGCGAAGGCAGCCCCCUGGGCCAAUACUGACGCUCAUGCACGAAAGCGUGGGGAGCAAACAGGAUUUAGAUACCCCUGGUAGUCCACGCCCUAAACGAUGUCAACUAGUUGUUGGGGAUUCAUUUCCUUAGUAAUGUAGCUAACGCGUGAAGUUGACCGCCUGGGGAGUACGGUCGCAAGAUUAAAACUCAAAGGAAUUGACGGGGUCAUAGCUGUUUUCCU
rnacentral:rRNA from 1 species